rnacentral:rRNA from 1 species
GACGAACGCUGGCGGCGUGCCUAAUACAUGCAAGUCGAACGAGUGGCGGACGGGUGAGUAACACGUGGGAACCUACCCAUCAGAGGGGGAUAACUACUGGAAACGGUAGCUAAUACCGCAUACCAUCGGAUGUGCCCAAAUGGGAUUAGCUUGUAGGGGAGGUAACGGCUCACCUGGGCGACGAUCCCUGGCUGGGCUGGGAGGAUGAACAGCCACACUGGAACUGAGACACGGUCCAGACUCCUACGGGAGGAAGCAGUGGGGAAUAUUGCACAAUGGGCGCAAGCCGGAUGCAGCCAUGCCGCGUGUAGUAGGAAGUCCUUCGGGUUGUAAAGUACUUUCAGCGGGGAGGCGUUACCCGCAGAAGAAGCACCGGCUAACUCCGUGCCAGCCGCCGCGGUAAUUC